AUGAAGUUCCCUGACAAUUUUUUACAUGUCCCCAACACAAGCUUUGACGAAUGCACGACUGAGUGUAGCAACAAUUGCUCGUGUAUAGCCCACGCCUACACCAAAUUGAGCAGUAAUGGUGCUAUGGCCGACCAGUCAAAUUGCUUGCUUUGGACAGGGGAGCUUGUCGAUACAGGGAAGUAUAGCAACAAUGACAAGAACCUGUACCUCCGGCUUGCUAACUCUCCUGCAAGCAAACAAAAGAAGAAGGAAAUCCACAACGGACCAAUGCCAGGAUACCUUAGCUCAUCUAAUGAAGUUGGUGGUAAACAUGUGGACUUUCCUUUUGUUAGCUUUGAAGAUAUUGCCACGGCAACGGAUAAUUUCUCGGACUCUAAACAAAUCGGAAGUGGUGGUUUUGGAAAAGUUUAUAAGGGUAUCCUGCAAGGGAACACUGAAGUUGCUAUCAAAAGACUCAGUAAGGGUUCUGGGCAAGGGAUGGAGGAGUUUAAAAAUGAGAUAAUUCUAAUUGCAAAAUUGCAGCACAAAAACCUUGUUAGACUUCUUGGUUGCUGUAUUCAUGGAGAUGAGAGGUUACUUAUCUAUGAAUACUUACCAAAUAAAAGCCUGGAUGCCUUCCUUUUUGAUAGCACGAGACAAUAUGUGCUUGAUUGGCCCACACGCUUCCAAAUAAUUAAAGGGGUGGCGAGAGGUCUUCUUUACCUCCACCAAGAUUCAAGAUUAACUAUAAUUCACAGAGAUCUGAAACCAAGCAACAUCUUGCUGGAUUCUGAAAUGACUCCCAAAAUAUCAGAUUUCGGUAUGGCAAGGAUCUUUGGUGGAAACAGACAAGCAAAAACUACCCGGGUUGUUGGGACAUAUGGCUACAUGUCGCCUGAAUAUGUUAUGGGAGGUGCCUUUUCUGUAAAAUCGGACACCUAUAGCUUCGGUGUUCUUCUCUUAGAGGUUGUAAGUGGCUUGAAGAUCACCUCACCGCAACUGGCAGUGAACUUUGUCGGCCUGACAACUUAUGCGUGGAGACUAUGGGAAGAUGGAAAAGCAACAGAACUGGUGCACUCUUCGUUUGCUGAGAGUUGUUCACUUCAUGAAGUUCUACGGUGUAUUCAUGUCGGCCUCUUGUGUGUUCAAGACCGUCCGGAUGAUAGGCCACUCAUGUCAUUGGUGACUUUUAUGUUAGAGAAUGAAAAUGCAUUGCUCCCAGCACCAAAGCAGCCUGCAUAUUUUGCUCUACAGAAUUUCGAAGCUGAAAAAUCAAGGGAAUACUCUGUGAAUACAGUGAGUAUCACAACACUAGAGGGGCGUUAA
rnacentral:rRNA from 1 species